AGUGAACGCUGGCGGUAGGCCUAACACAUGCAAGUCGAACGGCAGCACAGUAAGAGCUUGCUCUUACGGGUGGCGAGUGGCGGACGGGUGAGGAAUACAUCGGAAUCUACUUUUUCGUGGGGGAUAACGUAGGGAAACUUACGCUAAUACCGCAUACGACCUACGGGUGAAAGCAGGGGAUCUUCGGACCUUGCGCGAUUGAAUGAGCCGAUGUCGCAUUAGCUAGUUGGCGGGGUAAGGGCCCACCAAGGCGACGAUCCGUAGCUGGUCUGAGAGGAUGAUCAGCCACACUGGAACUGAGACACGGUCCAGACUCCUACGGGAGGCAGCAGUGGGGAAUAUUCGACAAUGGGCGCAAGCCUGAUCCAGCCAUACCGCGUGGGUGAAGAAGGCCUUCGGGUUGUAAAGCCCUGUUGUUGGGAAAGAAAAGCAGCAGGUUAAUCCCCCGCUGUUCUGACGGUACCCAAAGAAUAAGCACCGGCUAACUUCGUG
rnacentral:rRNA from 1 species